rnacentral:rRNA from 1 species
AACGAACGCUGGCGGCAUGCCUAACACAUGCAAGUCGAACGAAGGCUUCGGCCUUAGUGGCGCACGGGUGCGUAACGCGUGGGAAUCUGCCCUUAGGUUCGGAAUAACAGUUAGAAAUGACUGCUAAUACCGGAUGAUGACGUAAGUCCAAAGAUUUAUCGCCUAGGGAUGAGCCCGCGUAGGAUUAGCUAGUUGGUGUGGUAAAGGCGCACCAAGGCGACGAUCCUUAGCUGGUCUGAGAGGAUGAUCAGCCACACUGGGACUGAGACACGGCCCAGACUCCUACGGGAGGCAGCAGUGGGGAAUAUUGGACAAUGGGCGCAAGCCUGAUCCAGCAAUGCCGCGUGAGUGAUGAAGGCCUUAGGGUUGUAAAGCUCUUUUACCCGGGAUGAUAAUGACAGUACCGGGAGAAUAAGCCCCGGCUAACUCCGUGCCAGCCGCCGCCGUAA